GGAGACUUGGGUGAGUGGUUUAAACCAGCAGUCUUGAAAACUGCCGACGAGCAAUCGUCCGUGAGUUCGAAUCUCACAGUCUCCGCCA
rnacentral:tRNA from 1 species